GCGUAUGCAAUCUGCCUUCCACAGAGGGAUAGCCCAGAGAAAUUUGGAUUAAUACCUCAUAGCAUCAUGACCCGGCAUCGGGAUAUGAUUAAAGUCACAACGGUGGAAGAUGAGCAUGCGUCCCAUUAGCUAGUUGGUAAGGUAACGGCUUACCAAGGCUACGAUGGGUAGGGGUCCUGAGAGGGAGAUCCCCCACACUGGUACUGAGACACGGACCAGACUCCUACGGGAGGCAGCAGUGAGGAAUAUUGGUCAAUGGGCGCAAGCCUGAACCAGCCAUGCCGCGUGCAGGAUGACGGUCCUAUGGAUUGUAAACUGCUUUUGUACGGGAAGAAACCCUCCUACGUGUAGGAGCUUGACGGUACCGUAAGAAUAAGGAUCGGCUAACUCCGUGCCAGCAGCCGCGGUAAUACGGAGGAUCCAAGCGUUAUCCGGAAUCAUUGGGUUUAAAGGGUCUGUAGGCGGUCUUGUAAGUCAGUGGUGAAAGCCCAUCGCUCAACGGUGGAACGGCCAUUGAUACUGCUGGACUUGAAUUAUUGGGAAGCAACUAGAAUAUGUAGUGUAGCGGUGAAAUGCUUAGAGAUUACAUGGAAUACCAAUUGCGAAGGCAGGUUGCUACCAAUGGAUUGACGCUGAUGGACGAAAGCGUGGGUAGCGAACAGGAUUAGAUACCCUGGUAGUCCACGCCGUAAACGAUGGAUACUAGCUGUUGGGCGCAAGUUCAGUGGCUAAGCGAAAGUGAUAAGUAUCCCACCUGGGGAGUACGAACGCAAGUUUGAAACUCAAAGGAAUUGACGGGGGCCCGCACAAGCGGUGGAGCAUGUGGUUUAAUUUCGAUGAUACGCGAGGAACCCUUACCAAGGCUUAAAUGCAGACUGACCGGGUUUGGAAACAGACCUUUCGCAAGA
rnacentral:rRNA from 1 species